rnacentral:rRNA from 1 species
GAUGAACGCUGGCGGCGUGCCUAAUACAUGCAAGUCGAGCGAACAGACGAGGAGCUUGCUCCUCUGACGUUAGCGGCUGACGGGUGAGUAACACGUGGAUAACCUACCUAUAAGACUGGGAUAACUUCGGGAAACCGGAGCUAAUACCGGAUAAUAUAUUGAACCGCAUGGUUCAAUAGUUAAAGACGGUUUUGCUGUCACUUUUAGCUGGAUCCGCGCCGCAUUAGCUAGUUGGUAAGGUAACGGCUUACCAAGGCAACGAUGCGUAGCCGACCUGAGAGGAUGAUCAGGACAAAUGGAAAGGAGAAACGGUCAAGAAGAAUACGGGAGGCAGCAGUGGGGAAUAUUGGACAAUGGGAGAAAGACUGAACAAGCAAUACAGAGUGGGUGAAGAAGGGAUUCGGGUUGUAAAACACUUUUGUUGGGAAAGAAAAGCAGAAGGUUAAUAACCCGAUGUUCUGACGGUAAACAAAGAGUAAGCACCGGCUAACUUCGUG